CCCUGGGUGGCUCAGUCGGUUAAGCAUCCGACUUCCACUCAGGUCAUGACCUCACAGUGCGUGGGUUCAAGUCCCACAUCAGGCU
rfam:Felis catus isolate Cinnamon breed Abyssinian chromosome A3, whole genome shotgun sequence.